rnacentral:rRNA from 1 species
CACGUAGGGCGCGAGCGUUGUCCGGAAUUAUUGGGCCUAAAGCAUCCGUAGCCGGUUCUACAAGUCUUCCGUUAAAUCCACCUGCUUAACAGAUGGGCUGCGGAAGAUACUAUGGAGCUAGGAGGCGGGAGAGGCAAGCGGUACUCGAUGGGUAGGGGUAAAAUCCGUUGAUCCAUUGAAGACCACCAGUGGCGAAGGCGGCUUGCCAGAACGCGCUCGACGGUGAGGGAUGAAAGCUGGGGGAGCAAACCGG